rnacentral:rRNA from 1 species
UUGACCUCGGAUCAGGUAGGAAAUACCCCGCUGAACUUAAGCAUAUCAAUAA